GACGAACGCUGGCGGCGUGCCUAACACAUGCAAGUCGAGCGAAUGAAGUUCCUUCGGGAACGGAUUUAGCGGCGGACGGGUGAGUAACACGUGGGCAACCUGCCUCAUAGAGGGGAAUAGCCUUCCGAAAGGGAGAUUAAUACCGCAUAAGAUUGUAGUACCGCAUGGUACAGCAAUUAAAGGAGCAAUCCGCUAUGAGAUGAGCUCGCGGCGCAUUAGCUAGUUGGUGAGGUAACGGCUCACCAAGGCGACGAUGCGUAGCCGACCUGAGAGGGUGAUCGGCCACAUUGGGACUGAGACACGGCCCAGACUCCUACGGGAGGCAGCAGUGGGGAAUAUUGCACAAUGGGGGAAACCCUGAUGCAGCAACGCCGCGUGAGUGAUGACGGCCUUCGGGUUGUAAAGCUCUGUCUUCAGGGACGAUAAUGACGGUACCUGAGGAGGAAGCCACGGCUAACUACGUGCCAGCAGCCGCCGCAGUAA
rnacentral:rRNA from 1 species